GUGAGGGGAAGGGCACUGCUUUUGGACAUGGCCCCAACCUUGACAGUUAUGGCAGCGAACCCCACUCCUUUUAAAAUUUCUGUGAUUGUUCGGUGUUGUCGAGGGUAUGUGUGGGACAAAACAAUUUGGUGAGGGGCUAGCUGCAGGUGCAUGCUCAGCAACAUUCUCAUCUUUGUCUUGUUACGGCUGUGACCGUAAUUGUGUGUGGAUUUGAGUGUCUAGGUGCUCCUCCGGGAUUGACGAUUUGGCGUUGGUAAUGUGUUGUUUUUGCGUGACUGUUAUGUGUUUCCUACUUUACUUUGAAAGUCUGUGUCAUCUUAGUGUGUUCAGUUUACAUUUUCCCUGUCUCGUCAGUUCUGAUUUGCCCCAGCUGUGUUUCCCUCCUGUUGUCCAUUCCCUGAUUGUUCCCUCCAUGUAUUUAAGCCCUGUGUGUCAGUUGUCAUGGUCGCGAUCUUUUUCCCCCCCCGUUGUAAAUAGUUUGGCGCCUUGCGUUGUAAAUAAAUAUCAUUUUGCUUUAAAGAAAAUAGUGGUCGUUUUGGGAUGAUUUUUGUGGAAACCCGUAUUAGUUUUUUCUCGUGUUUUUUUCUCGUGUGUUUUUUUUACCUUAUUUUUAUUUUCCUUAUUUUUAUUUUCCUUAUCUUUGUUUUUCUACGUUGCACCCCGGUUGCCUAGGCCGGGGUGUAACAGUCUUUUUCUCUGACGACAGCAGCUCGGGGCCAGCGUUCAGCUGCGUUACGGGCUCCUUGCUGCAUGGCACUGGUUACAUAAGAUGCAGCCCUUUUAGUGGUUUCGUGUCGGUGGGCUAUUUUGUAUGCACAGGCAAGUGUGGCUAGGUCCCUCUCUAGCAACUUCUGUACUAUUUCUGCAUUACCCAGCCCAUUGGUGAAAACUUCAACAGCUAUAGAGUCUUGUUCAAUCUCUGCUCUAUUACCAAAUGCAACAGCCACUUUCCCAUAAAUGUCAUCUCUGAAAACAUGCAGGGCCUCACCAGGUUUACGCACUCGCUGCCUCAGUUCUACAGCAACAGCAGCUGCAUGGUCAGAAGAAGGGCCAUAUGCAGUUUCCAGUUCGUCCACCAGGCGGCGGUAAUCCCAUUUGGAUGAGCGGGGAUUUCUGUGGAUAAUGGCCCCUGCUGCUCCAACUAGGCAGAAUUUAAGCUGAGUUGUCAUUGUUUUUUCUGACCAAUAGUUGGCUUCAGCACAGCUCUCAAACCUGUGCAGAAAUUCCUUCCACGGUGUGGUGCCGUCAUACUGGCCCGGACAUAGGGUGGGGACUCUCUCUCUAGUGUCACUGUCCUCUUCACUGUCAGAUGGGGGCUGACGGGGCACACAGCGGGUCUUGCCUGGUUUCGAGCGGGGUUUAUGCUGUGCAGUGGUUUCCCCAUAGCUUAUGGCUUCAUCAAGGCUACUGGAAGGCAUACAUUGCAUGGGUGUAUUUAACAUUGCGUUAAACUGAGCCGGUGUGCUGCGUACAAAACUGUCAAUGUGAGCGGAGGAAAAUGGGUUUGAGUCUGGAUAGUGGAUUUUCAUUUGGGGAGUAGGAGCUGGAUAAUAG
ensembl:lncRNA